GUUCGAUUCUGGCUCAGAUUGAACGCUGGCGGGAUGCUUUACAUGCAAGUCGAACGGCAGCACGGACUUCGGUCUGGUGGCGAGUGGCGAACGGGUGAGUAAUGUAUCGGAACGUGCCUGGUAGCGGGGGAUAACUACGCGAAAGCGUAGCUAAUACCGCAUACGCCCUUCGGGGGGAAAGCGGGGGACCUUCGGGCCUCACUAUUAGAGCGGCCGAUAUCGGAUUAGCUAGUUGGUGGGGUAACGGCUCACCAAGGCGACGAUCCGUAGCUGGUUUGAGAGGACGACCAGCCACACUGGGACUGAGACACGGCCCAGACUCCUACAGGAGGCAACAGUGGGGAAUUUUGGACAAUGGGGAAACCUGAUCCAGCCAUCCCGCGUGUGCGAUGAAGGCCUUCGGGUUGUAAAGCACUUUUGGCAGGAAAAACGGCACGGGAUAAUACCCGUGCAACUGACGGUACCUGCAGAAUAAGCACCGGCUAACUACGUGCCAGCAGCCGCGGUAAUACGUAGGGUGCAAGCGUUAAUCGGAAUUACUGGGCGUAAAGCGUGCGCAGGCGGUUCGGAAAGAAAGAUGUGAAAUCCAGAGCUUAACUUUGGAACUGCAUUUUUAACUACCGAGCUAGAGUGUGUCAGAGAGGUGGAAUUCCGCGUGUAGCAGUGAAAUGCGUAGAUAUGCGGAGGAACACCGAUAGCGAAGAGCGGCCUCCUGGGAUAACACUGACGCUCAUGCACGAAAGCGUGGGGAGCAAACAGGAUUAGAUACCCUGGUAGUCCACGCCCUAAACGAUGUCAACUAGCUGUUGGGGCCUUCGGGCUUGGUAGCGCAGCUAACGCGUGAAGUUGACCGCCUGGGAGGUACGGUCGCAGAUUCAAACUCAAAGGAAUUGACGGGGACCCGCACAAGCGGUGGAUGAUGUGGAUUAAUUCGAUGCAACGCGAAAAACCUUACCUACCCUUGACAUGUCUGGAAUCCCGAAGAGAUUUGGGAGUGCUCGCAAGAGAACCGGAACACAGGUGCUGCAUGGCUGUCGAUAAUCAUUGUCGUGAGAUGUUGGGUUAAGUCCCGCAACGAAGCGCAACCCUUGUCAUUAGUUGCUACGAAGGGCACUCUAAUGAGACUGCCGGUGACAAACCGGAGGAAGGUGGGGAUGACGUCAAGUCCUCAUGGCCCUUAUGGGUAGAACUACACGUCAUACAAUGGUCGGGACAGAGGGUCGCCAACCCGAGGAGCCAAUCCGAAGCCGAUCGUGAGUCGGAUCGCAGUCUGCAACUCGACUGCGUGAAGUCGGAAUCGCUAGUAAUCGCGGAUCAACAUGUCGCGGUGAAUACGUUCCCGGGUCUUGUACACACCGCCCGUCACCAUGGGAGUGGGUUUUACCAGAAGUAGUUAGCCUAGCCGUAAGGAGGCGAUUACCACGGUAGGAUUCAUGACUGGGGUGAAGUCGUAACAAGGUAG
rnacentral:rRNA from 1 species